AUUGAACGCUGGCGGCGUGCUUAACACAUGCAAGUCGAACGGGCAAGAGCCGUAGCAAUACGGAGUUCUGCUAGUGACAAACGGGUGAGUAAUACAUGGGAAUCUACCUUGGAGUCUGGGAUAACAGUUGGAAACGACUGCUAAUACCGGAUAUAACCGAGAGGUAAAAGAUUUAUCGCUCUAAGAUGAGCCCAUGGAGGAUUAGCUAGUUGGUAGGGUAAAGGCCUACCAAGGCGACGAUCCUUAGCUGGUCUGAGAGGAUGAUCAGCCACACUGGAACUGAGACACGGUCCAGACUCCUACGGGAGGCAGCAGUGGGGAAUAUUGGACAAUGGGCGAAAGCCUGAUCCAGCGACGCCGCGUGGGUGAUGAAGGCCUUCUGGUUGUAAAGCCCUUUCAGUGGGAAAGAUAAUGACGGUACCCACAGAAGAAGCUCCGGCAAACUUCGUGCCAGCCGCCGCCGUAA
rnacentral:rRNA from 1 species